GAAGUAAAAAGUCGUAACAAGGUUUCCGUAGGUGAACCUGCGGAAGGAUCAUUAUUGAUUGUGAAUCGUUGCCUCCAGUGCUGGCUCUCGCAAGUGCACGGUUGGUGACUUUCAUCCAACACCCUGUGAACCUUUGGCCUCUUGCUAGCUUCGGCUGGCAGAGGAUUUUUACACACACUCGAAUGUAAUGAAAUUAUUGUCGUGCGCAAGCACUUAUGUACAACUUUCAACAACGGAUCUCUUGGCUCUCGCAUCGAUGAAGAACGCAGCGAAAUGCGAUAAGUAAUGUGAAUUGCAGAAUUCAGUGAAUCAUCGAAUCUUUGAACGCACCUUGCACCCUUUGGCAUUCCGAAGGGUAUGCUCGUUUGAGUGUCAUUGUACUCUCACACUUCUGAUCCUUUGGAUUUGGAGCGGUGGACUUGGGUGUUGCCACUUGACGGUGGCUCACCUCUAAUGCAUUAGUGCAACUCCUGGUUGGACCAUAGUACGGCGUGAUAAGUGUCUUCGCCGGCACCUCGUGAGAGGGUGGCCGAUCGAGAGCUCUGUGCUUUCAAACCGUCCUUGCAAGGACAAUGACUGACAACUUGACCUCAAAUCGAGUAGGACUACCCGCUGAACUUAAGCAU
rnacentral:rRNA from 1 species